CCCAGCUGUAACAGACGUGCCUAUUUAGAUUUAAGGUUGUCUUGAACACAGCAGAUUCCCUCCGCCACAAGCUUUGACAGAAGAGACAAAAUGCAGCGGGUAUCAUUGGCAUUGGUCAUUUUCACCAUUGCAAUAAUCACAAUCCAAUCGGUGCCCAUAGAAACAAGUGGUGAAAUGAUUGAGAAAAUGCAACACGUCAGCAUGAGCCAGUUUCGCAGGAGAAGGGGGACUGACGACUCAUUCAAGAAACCCUCACAGUCCUGCUCUGGCUGCUACUCUGUCAUAGGAGACCCCACUACGACAUGAUCAUCCCGCUAGUGAGGAGCUGGUUUCACCUUUCCAGAGGACAAAUCAACAAACGUGGAAUCACCAGAAACUUUCACUCCAAAGAGCAAGAAGAAAAUACUAAAACCAAGGAACUAUCCUCAAAGUAAAUAUCAUCACUGGCACCCCCCUGUUUUCUAAGACAAAAAUGAACGACACUUUCAUAUGAAUCGUUCAUUGAUGAACGCUGGCUGCGUCUUGUGGGAGCGCCUGUUGAAAUGUCCUUUUCCCCCAUAUCCUCAUUUUGACUCAUAAGGGCAAGAAGUACAAUUUAGGCAUGUCAUUAUCAAUGACUUCAAUUUAGAGCUUUACGCAUGCUGAGUCACAGCCUGCUUAAACCAGACUGAAUGCUGUGCUCACAUCAUGUUGAGCACAAGUUUCAGUGUGGUUUAAGCAGGCCAGCUGAGUCAUAGGCUGGUUGAGGCACAAGUGGUAUUUUAAAAAAUGUGUCAUUGAAACCAUGCCACAACUCCAAAACCAUAUUGGCUAAGUUUGAAACCAAUUAGCAGUUUUAACCAAUCAGCAUCCAGUAUUGGACCCACCCCUUUGUAUAAGCUUUGUUAAUGUAUCAACAAAGUCGUCUUAUGUGCCAUAACUGAAAGCAGUGUCCCCAAAAGGAACACUCCAAUCUUACCCCAGUCUAUUUGAAUAAAGAGGCCUAGUU